GGCCGGAUGGUCUAGGGGUGUGAUUCUCGCUUAGGGUAUGAGAGGUUGCGGGUUCGAAUCCCGGUUCGGCCC
rfam:Dictyocaulus viviparus strain HannoverDv2000 D_viviparus-1.0_Cont134.30, whole genome shotgun sequence.